rnacentral:lncRNA from 10 species
UGAUUUAACUGUAUGAAAGGAAAUUCUAUUGUGCCAGAUAUUUGGAUUCUCUCAGUGUACCUACUUUCUAUGGAGCCCACACAUGCUACAUACAAAGCAGCACCUUUCCAUGGGCACAGAAGACAUGGAUGAUAAGCUUCAUUUCUCAGGGACUUUACUAGACCCACAGAUGUAGGAUGUGGAUGCUUCUUAUCACCAAAAUGAGUGGAACUCAGCUGACACAUCCAUUAUCACCUUUUAUUUAAACAUGAUCACUUCUUAAUAUAAAUUUUAAUGUUCGAUAAUUUUAAUCAUACAAUCAACUAAUUCAAACUUAGGCAGUAGGGUUCCCAUUCAGAUGCCAGGUUUUGCACAAAGCCUCCCUCAGCUUCCCCAUCUGAAAUUGACCUUGCAUUUCUCUGACCUCCAGGGGAUGGGGUCUGUACCCACUCAUGUCAGUCAUCCCUUCGUACCUUAUAUUUAAAUCAUUUUUGUUGGUGUCUUCCGCCUUAUAGUAGACACACGGCACCUCAGCGUUGGCAUCUGGGUGUGGUUCCUCAUUGUGCUCCCAGGCACAAGGCCUGUGUCACCUCCAUCUCAGACCUAGAGGGAGGAGAAUAUCUGGCCCCGUUUCCUGUGAUUUCCUCAGGCCCCCUGCCAGAGUGUGAUUAGUAAAUGCAAGUCAGGCUGCCCAUUCUGCAAAGAGGCCCCGUUUCCCCUUGUGCUAAAUGGGCCAUGCGGAUUAAAUGUUCCAGCUCUGCAACUCACCUGCAAACUACAAUACUCAACAGAGAUCACAGUUUAAACAAAAUUGGCCUCUAUCCUUUAUCACAAGCAGUUAUGGGCCAUGGUAGAUUAGCAGAGCUCUAGUGAUAUAGAUCACAUAGAGAGAAAGCUUUUUUUAAAAAAGGUCAACCAUAUGAUCGAUCUGAAAGUCUGGAAAUUGGAAGGCUGAGCUACUUAAAUAUAGAUGCAAUUACAUGUGAUAUCCCCAUUCUCUGUAAACUGGGUUUUUGCCACAUAUCCUUAUUGUUAGGAAUAACACGAACUAUACCAGGAAAUAUAUAUGUCCUAGGACUUUAACAAAUAGUAAUAUCUUUAAUUUGUUUUUCUAGUUUUCAAAGUGCUUUUCACACUAAUAAGGGGAGGACAUAGGUUUUUAUUCCUUUUUUAUUUAUGAAAUGGAAGCAAAGAGGUUAUAUAAGAAGCCCAAAGUAACAUAGACAAUUAGAAAGUCAGGGCUGGGCAUGGUGGCUCACACCUGUAAUCCCAGCACUUUGGGAGACUGAGGUGGGGGGAUCACAAGGUCAAGAGUUCGAGACCAGCCUGGCCAACAUGGUGAAACCCCAUUCCUACUAAAAAUACAAAAAUUAGCUGGGCAUGGUGGCACGUGCUUGUAGUCCCAGUUACCCAGGAGGCUGAGGCAGGAGGAUUGCUUGAACCUGGGAGGCAGAGGUUGUAGUGAGCUGAGAUUGCCCUACUGCACUCUAGCCUGGGCAAGAGAGUGAGACUCUGUCUCAAACAAAAGAAAAAAAAAAAAAGAAGGACUAGAAUUUAGAACAUAGACUCAUUAGUGCAUUUCAUACACCUAGAAAUAAGUACUUAGAGAAAGGACAGGAUGGAGUAAGGAACUAGACUCUGAAGUUCAACUAGAGAACAUUCUAGGACAAGUAGGUAGGCCAGAGGAAAUGGUGAGGUAGAAGGGUGAGAUGUCUGAGGUUCAGAUGCUGGAGGUGGAGAAGUUCUGAGUGCCGGCCAGGCCCAGGGCACAGCCAUCUGGAGGAAUGGGAUAGGAUAGGUGCCUGGAGAGGGUUUUAGUUAUUCAGCAAGGGACUACUGGCAGCCCUCUCUGUACCAGGCACUAUUCUGGGCAUAGAAGAAUGAUGUGGCAUUCAGAUGUGUGUGAGGAAGCCAAGGCACCAGUAACAGUAUUUUGUCACAAUACAGAGAAAUGCAAUGAUAAUAAUAAUAGUAAACAGUGAUUAUGCUUAUAAUAUGUGCCAGACUCAGUGCAAAUCAACCUACCGAUUUAGUUACCAUUUAUUAUUCCUAUUUUAUACACAGAGGAUUGAGGUUGACAGGUUCACAUUUGUCCCUGAUCACACAGUUGAUCAGAGAGACCAGGAAUUGAAAUGCUGGUGGCUUGGGUUUAGGGCCCUACUCCAAAACAUUAGAUGUCUCUAUCUGUAAAUAGAUGAUACAUAAACAAUAAGGUAGGUAGAUAGAUAAAUAGACAGAUAGAUACGGUUCCCAUAUAGCAACAAGAAGGAAAGGCAGUCAUGAGCUUCAGUCUGCUCUAAAGUGGCUCAGCUUCUCUGCUUCUCUUUCCUUGACUGCAAAUGUUGUUUUUUGCGUGUUCGUUGUCCUUGACUUCAGGUGUCUUAGAGCUGUUUCUUUAAACUCCGGCUACCCUUCAAGAUCAGGAUUACCCAAUAAAAUAGGAGAGGAGCUAUUAAACUUAGAUUUCAGAUAAAAAAAAAAUUAUGCUUCCUUAGUAUAAGUAUGCCCCAUGUGAUAUUUAUUUGAAAUUCAACUUUAACUGAGCCUCUUAUUUUUAUUUGCUAAAUCUGGCAACCUGACACCAGGAGGUCUUCAUUACUCUCAUUGAAGUAAUUAAUUUGUAAUUCAAAAUUUCAGGGUCUUGCGAAUGUGUUGUCAGAUCUCUGAAGGUCAAUGGCUCUGAGGGCGAGACAUGAAGUUUGCUGUUUUGAGUUCUGUUUCGUUUGCUGAACUCUCCUUCCCACUUUUCCUUGGAUGGUGUGAGGAUGGGAUGUGUGUGUGUCCAGAGAGACAGGGCUGGUGGGUGAAGUUCCUCUUAGAGCUGGCAGAAAAGAGGUUUUGUUUUUUUUUUGUUUGUUUUUUGAGACGGAAUUUUGCUCUUGUUGCCCAGGAUAGAGUGCAAUGGCGCAAUCUCGGCUCACUGCAACCUCCGCCUCCCGGGUUCAAGUGAUUCUCCUGCCUCAGCGUCCUGAGUAGCUGGGAUUACAAGCAUGCGCCGCCACGCCUGGCUAAUUUUGUAUUUUUAGUAGAGACGGGUUUCUCCAUGUUGGUCAGGCUGGUCUCGAACCCCUGAUCUCAGGUGAUCCACCCACCUUGGCUUCUCAAAGUGCUGAGAUGACAGGCGUGAGGCACCGCACCCAGCCCAGAAAAGAGUUUUAAGACAAGGGAAUCUUUCCCCAGCAAAGGCCCACAUUAUGUGGCAAGAAGGUGUUAAAGCAGGUGGAAGGGAUUCCAGAAAUAUUCUGAAAGCUUAAAAAAAUGGGUUUGUUGCCAGGAACAUAGGCCACAGCACAGCUCGUUGGAAAACUAUGUAGUGGACGCAUCGUUUAUCAACUGCAGUGUUGGGACCAAAUAUCCGAGACCAAAUAACUGGCAGUUAGAAUUGGCCCAGUUGUUCCUCUUGAAUUUAGUGGUUAACAAAUAAGAUAUUGAGUGCAUACUAUGUGUCAAGCACUUGCUGGGCACUGGAGAAACUGAGAUAAAUAGGGUUAAGGCUUCCCUCAUGGUUCACUGAAGGAGACAGAAAUACACUUAUUGAAGGAUGGUGUGAAUAGUGUGACAGAUAAAGGUAUGAACACAAUGCUGGACCUGUGUUUCUUGCAAAACCUACUUAUAAUGAGGUUAAGUUCAGUCAAACACAAUUUUUUUUACCAUUGAUCCCCCAGGAUAGAAUAUUUUCAUUUGAUUAAACAUGAUUAUUUUCCCAAAUUGGUUGCUUUUCUUAAAAAAAAGAAAAACACAUUCAUAAAUAUUUUGAAUCCAUUAAGCCAUGUGUCAAUAUUGGCCCUCUGGGAAAAUCUAGCUCAUUGCCCGCUUUUUUUGUAAAUCAAGAUUUAUUGCAACAUAGCCAUGCUGAUUUAUAGAUUGCCUACGGCCACUCUGUGCUAUCACGGAAGAACUGAGUGGCUGCCACAAAGACCAUAUGGUCCUCAAAGCUGAAAAUAUUUACUAUCUAGCCCUUUAAGAAGAGUUUGCUGGCUCGUGCCUGUAAUUCCAACACUUUGGGAGGCCAAGGGCUGGAUGAUCACUUGAGCCCAGUAGUUCAAGACCAGCCUGGGCAACAUGGGAGACCCUGUGUCUACAAAAAAAUUUUAUAAAUUAGCUGGGCAUGGUGGCACACCCAUGUGGUCCCAGCUACGCGAGAGGCUGAGGUGGGAGGAUCAUUUGAGCCCGGGAGGUCGAGGCUGGAGUGAACGGUGAUCACAGCACUGCACUCCAGCCUUUCCAGCCUGGGUGAGACAGGAGACCCUGUCUUAAAAAAAAAAAAAAAAAGGCAGCAGCAGCUUGCCGACCUUUAAACUACGAC